rnacentral:rRNA from 1 species
AUUGAACGCUGGCGGCAUGCCUUACACAUGCAAGUCGAACGGCAGCACGGGAGCAAUCCUGGUGGCGAGUGGCGAACGGGUGAGUAAUAUAUCGGAACGUGCCCAGUCGUGGGGAUAACGUAGCGAAAGCUACGCUAAUACCGCAUACGAUCUAUGGAUGAAAGCGGGGGGAUCGCAAGACCUCGCGCGAUUGGAGCGGCCGAUAUCAGAUUAGGUAGUUGGUGAGGUAAAGGCUCACCAAGCCGACGAUCUGUAGCUGGUCUGAGAGGACGACCAGCCACACUGGGACUGAGACACGGCCCAGACUCCCUACGGGAGGCAGCAGUGGGGAAUUUUUGGGACAAUGGGCGCAAGCCUGAUCCAGCAAUGCCGCGUGCAGGAUGAAGGCC